rnacentral:rRNA from 1 species
UACGAAGGGUGCAAGCGUUACUCGGAAUUACUGGGCGUAAAGCGCACGCAGGUGGCUGAGUCAGUCGAUUGUGAAAGCCCUGGGCUUAACCUGGGAAUGGCAUUGGAUACUGGCGAGCUAGAGUGCGGUAGAGGGUAGUGGAAUUCCCGGUGUAGCAGUGAAAUGCGUAGAGAUCGGGGGGAACAUCUGUGGCGAAGGCGGCUACCUGGACAAUUGCUGACGCUCAGGCACGAAAGCGUGGGGAGCAAAAGGG